rnacentral:rRNA from 1 species
CCGACUAUCUAACCUUUUGGAAGAAGUCGUCGAAGGUGGAAUCAAUAACUGGGGUGAAGUCGUAACAAGGUAGCCGUAUCGGAAGGGGCGGCUGGAUCACCUCCUUUCUAAGGAGA